CAGCCAGCACCAACCCCCCGCCCCCGGAGACCUCCAACCCUAACAAGCCCAAGAGGCAGACCAACCAACUGCAAUACCUGCUCAGAGUGGUGCUCAAGACACUAUGGAAACACCAGUUUGCGUGGCCUUUCCAGCAGCCUGUGGAUGCCGUCAAGCUGAACCUCCCUGAUUACUAUAAGAUCAUUAAAACGCCUAUGGAUAUGGGAACAAUAAAGAAGCGCUUGGAAAACAACUAUUACUGGAAUGCUCAGGAAUGUAUCCAGGACUUCAACACUAUGUUUACAAAUUGUUACAUCUACAACAAGAACGACUCUGGAGGGAGACACUAUACAGAACUCAGCUUUUGACCUCUGCUGGUGUAGUGGGUAAAAAUGCCCAGAAGAGAUGGGUAGCCUGGAGAUGACAUAGUCUUAAUGGCAGAAGCUCUGGA
rnacentral:sRNA from 1 species